rnacentral:lncRNA from 1 species
CAUAAAUCAGCGCCUGUGGCGCGGGUAGUUCCGAGUCGGGAUCGGUCCAAUGUGGACGGCCUCUUCCUGUUUCCUCUCCUCCCUUUGACAAAGUGCGUGACCUAAAAACCCUGUGCGCCAGCACCUCCGCCGUAGAACUGGCUCAGGUACAGUCCUCUGCGUGCGGGUGUUCGUUUGUUUGCUUUUACCCAGAGACUGUGUUCCGGGACGUUUGGAGGAGGCUUCCUGGUCCCGUUCUUCAAGGACAGCCGCGGCCUCCGGGCAGCGGGAGCCGGCCCGCGCCGCCCGGGGACGGGGUCUCACACCUCCGCCGUAGAACUGGCUCAGGUACAGUCCUCUGCGUGCGGGUGUUCGUUUGUUUGCUUUUACCCAGAGACUGUGUUCCGGGACGUUUGGAGGAGGCUUCCUGGUCCCGUUCUUCAAGGACAGCCGCGGCCUCCGGGCAGCGGGAGCCGGCCCGCGCCGCCCGGGGACGGGGUCUCACACACCGGGCCGGGACUCUGGACCUGAGCUCCGCGCGGCGGAGGAGCCGCACGCGCACGGCCUGCUUCCCACAUUGGCGCUGACAUCACUCCCAGCGUGCUGCAGGGCACUGUCCUCAACAAGAAGUGUGGGAAGUUAGAUCUGCACCCCCAUCCCCACCCCCCAGGAAAGAAGGGAGCGGCAGAAGAGGAUGAGACCACUCUGCUGCUUCUGGUGCUCCCCAGAGCCCUGCCCACCUUGAGAGUGAACAGGGGCAAGGAAGUCAUGGGGCUCCUCCCCUCUUCCUAAAGGAGGGAGGGACAGGCUCCUAACCUUUGCCCCUUGCUCACCCUGAGGACCUGGGGCAUUUUCUUGGAAUAUUUGUAUGGUUUUACUUGUUGCCACAAGAAGUUACGACUUCUGCAGCUUGAAAGAGAUCUCCCACCCCGCAUAAAGAAAAAGGGACGAUGAAAAUGAGUGUAAGUAUAAAGACCAUGUUUCAACAUGGGAAGACAUUUGCUGUGAGAAUGGCAGAACCCAGAACUGUAGCCUUGCCACCUGCCAUGCCACAAACGUGCAAGACCAUGGGUGGAAGGAAAGGCAGCUCCCCAGGCCGGCAGCCACGGGGGCCUUUUCAGUGUAUUAAACAGUAUAUUGUCUUUUCACUAAAACAGGGAAAGCAUCAGACACACUUUUUUUUUUUUUAAGAUUUUAUUUAUUCACUUGACAGACAGCCAGGGAGAGAGGGAACACAAGGAGGGGGAGUGGGAGAGGAAGAAGCAGGCUCCUAGCAGAGGAGCCUGAUAUGGGGCUCGAUCCCAGAACGCCGGAACCACGCCCUGAGCCGAAGGCAGACACUUAACGACUGAGCCACCCAGGCGCCCCCAGACACACUCUUAAAUAUGAAAAUAAACGUAACCAAGACCACA